AGCAUGCGCACACGGUCCGCCACCCCAGGGCCAGUGGAGCCAGUGACACCUGCGAUCAACAGGUCCCGGGAGCCCCGCCCCCUCUCCGCCUCGUGCUCUCCCCCUCCUCGGAGCUGGCCCCGCCUUCACGCUCACCAAGCUGACUCCGCCCCCGCCCGAGAUUUCCCGGCUUUCCGGACCUUCCUAACUGUAUUCCCGCGGGGAUUCGAUGGGGCGCGCGACCCAGUUGACUUACUCUGAGGCGCGAGAUCCCGCGAGAGCCAGAUCUUGACGAUUUCCCUCAAAGAGGGAGCUUAGCGCUGGAGCUUUGCUGUUGGAGGAAGGUGGUUGCAGGCUACGUUGUUUGGCGUACGGAAUAGGAGACUACUUCCUCAGGUGGAGGACUGAUUUUCAAUGUGCUGUAAAGGAAGAAUUAAUAAAGGAUGAUACUAAACUGUGGAUCUCAAACUUCUGAACAUACAAAACUGAUCAUAUUUUCAGCUUACAGUUCUGCAUUGUACAGAGAAAUGGAUAUGCUCACAAAAAGGAAAUUCAGAUGUUUGGGGAGCAAUAGAAGAGAAAUAUCAGAGAAAUGACUUUCAUCACAACAGCUCGCACAGCACAGAAUGACAUGGAACAAGAACUGAUAAAAACCUGGAAGAGAACCUUCAGACUCUGGAAAAGCAAGAAUCAGAGGAGCAGAAUAAUGACAGAGCAUUCCUAUCAGCUCUUUUAUGAAGAGUACCUGGAGAUUUGUAUCUGAUAUAAUUAUUAUUCUGAUCAGAUGUCCUGGUUUUUCUCCCUCUGCACUUCCAGGCUUUCCCCACCCUCCCCAGAGCUUGGGCCUGCAGCGUUUGGCCUCCAUCUCUCUGCGUGGGUCAGAUUUUCUUAUAUGUUAGCUCCUGGUUGGAUUUACUCAAAAGGAAACCCCAGUAAGAGAUCAGAACAAGGGGACAAGGAGGUCACAUAGAUAUUCUCCCUGCUGGAUCUGCUAGGCCGUGGUUUGGCAAUGGUUCUUCUCUUGCUUCAUGUAGAGAAUCACAACUCCUAUUUGACUCUCUACCUGCCUUAACUCUUGUGAUGUUCCAAUAACACAUACCAUCUCCCUGCCUCUUCAGGCCAGGCCAAAGGAUAGUAAUAGCUUCCUGCUCUUAAUCUCUGGAUUCAUUAUUGUUUGUUCAUUUAAGCCUGUCUUUAGUCUCUGCAUUAUAUUAUCUUUAUCAGUCCUUUCAGCAUGUCACCUAUAUCCUGCUGGACUCCUAAGUAAUAGUCAUGUGUUUAGAUUUCAUUUUAUAAUGUAAGUUUAAUAGUUCUCAAUGAACCAUGUAACAUGACCAUACAAUCACAAAUUUAAGAACACUUUAAGGUACUGUUCUAGUCCAGAUAUUUUCUACCAAAAUGAUCCCUCUCUAUUAAAAUCUGAGUACAGAGAGCUCAAAAUCAGUUAAGCAAUAUUUCUUGGAGAAUGUUUCAUAGCCAGACUCAUUUCUGAUUGGCCAUGAAACAUAUUUCAGUGUAUCUCUAAUAGCUGCCUGCUAAUUCUUGCUAAGGUCUUAAAUAAUUAAUAUGUUGACUGACAUAGGCUUAAAGUUUUUAACCUCAAGUGCUUUUACAUUUUAAGUGAUAUUCUUGAAAGCAAAAUAGUACCCUUAAGUGCCAAAGCAAGGACACAUUGAAGUUUGAAGUGACUAAAAGUCAGAUGUACCAGAAUACAGCCAGAAAAUUCAUUCUUUGGAGGACUAAAGAGGUUUUAUGUCAGUAAACAGAUAUAUUAUUAUCUCCUACACCCGCGAAGGCCCUGUCUCUGGAGUGCAUGGAUUUCCCUUGGUCAGCAAUAGUUGUAUGAGUUUUAAGCAGCUUCAUGGGUUUGUAGAGCAAGCUGAAAAACUGGUCCUUGGAAAAUAAAUAAAUCCUCAGCUUUACAGAGCUGUCUAUCAUCCAAACAUGUGUUGCCUGACAGGAAAAGUACAGUUCAUCAUUAUGCUUGUCAAGUGGGGCCUUUAAUGGUAUCCAAAUAAGCAAGGGCAUCAUGACAGGAGUCAUCAGCGUUCCUUCAGAGCAGACAUUCUGAGGUUAACAUUCAGAAUCAACUGCUAUUAUUGUGUUCCUCUGAUCUUUUACAUUUGUCUGAACAGCAGGAAAUAUUUUUCCCUCAAGAGCCAUGUUAAAUAUGGUGAUAACUUUCCUUGCCAGAGAUGUUUUUCUGAAGGACCACUCUUUCUCCAUCUUUUAACUAAAGCAAACAGAGUGUAUGACAGGGUCUGUUAUGAACAAACAUAUCCUUGCAACCACCAACUUCAACAAUGCUGUUAUGUUCGUAGGUAAUUAUGGAUAAACAUUUUUUAGUGUACAAAAAAAUCUUACCUUAUAUAGUGUAUAAUUAUAUAUAAUUGUGCUUUAUUAUGUAUGUGAGUAAACAUUCUAAGUCCUGCAAAUAUUCUUAUUUGUGAAAAUGAAAUACAUUACCAGUAAUAAGAAGUUUGACAUACAAAUCAUUUUUUUAGUAUUGACAGUGAUGAAUCCCUAUCAGUGAACUUAUUAACCAGUCUUCUCCUUAAGUCAUUAAUCCUGGACUCAUAAAAUACACAUGACAGAAGAAUUUCAUCUCUGAAGGAAGAAGAUCUAGGUUUCAAUUGUGUGGCUCCAGUGCUGUCUGAACUUAGAUGAGUUCCAUUAUGCCCCUGAGCUUUAGUUUUGUGAAGUGUUAAAUAGAGCUAAUGAAUCUGAUCUCUCUAGGUCAUUAAUAAGGAUUAGAAAUAAUAUGUGCUAAGCUUUGUGAUGCACAUACAGCUUACAGAGGUGCUCAAGAAAGGACUAGUGAAUAAGAGUGCUUCCCACCCACAUACAGACACAUGAAAGGAACAUGCCAAAUAAAAAGAAGAGCUGUAAAAUAUCAAUACUUUGUCUACAAGAUGUUUGACAAUAUCUGGAUUUAUUUUCAGUUUUUAUCCAGAUAUUAGGCAUUAUCUCAUCAUAAUCUAAGAUAAAUAAUGUUUUUUUCUAUAUUUUCCUCAGUAAGUUCACAUUUCAAAACUGAAAGAUGCUGGAGGAUGAGCCUAUUUAUUAUUUUUCCCAGGAGAAAUAAAAUCCAAAUAUUUAAACACUAUGGCUUAUUUUUAUUGAGCACCUACUCUGCUAAGUCCUUUAUAUCUUUAUGCCAUUGAUCCCUACAAAACCUCAAUUAGAAGUAUAAAUGUACUUCCACUUGUAUACGUUCAGUUGGACUUCAUUUUAUGAUAAGAAAACUGAGACUCAGAAAAGUUAGGUACUUUGCCUAAAGUCACAGGUAGGACCAGAGUUUGAAUCUAGAGACUCUGAUUCCAGAGCUUGUGUUUUUAACCAUUCCACACAUUGCCUCCUUAGUCAGUGGUCUAACUUCUCUACCCUGAACCGUAGAAGAAAAGAAAGGAGGGGUGUGACAAUUGGCAUAGGUGGUGAGAAAGGUCAGGAGGAAAUGAAGGAACUAGGCAGAGGUGAUAAAAAUGUGCCCAGUAAGUCCACAGAAUGGUUGUUGGAAAAGACAUUUUGUUUUAUUGUGUUUACCUUUUUCUUCCUCUUUUGUAAUUUUAAGGGUUAUAUAUAAAGAAUUCUUUAAAAAUUAGAAAAUAUUUAGCUGAAUUAUGGCCAAUUAUGUAGUAAAAUUUUCUUUACAAGCCAUGAUUUGACACAGCAUGCCUAUGUGAGCAUGUGAUAUAAUUCCUUUUCUUUAAGAACAUUCCCUUAGACCACACUUAAUACAUUGAACAGAUGAGCAAAUUCCUAUCCAUAAAAUACUAUAUUCCCUUUCAGUGUCUCUCAAUUUAAUCAGACUACAUAACUAAGAGGUAUUGGUAAUGUAAAUAUUUACCAAAUCUUAUGUUCUAUUGCUUAUUGCUUCUUGAUUCAUGCCAGGAAAGAUUAUUUUAUUGCAACCACAGGAAAAUGGAGUUAAAGCUUUCUCUGGGAAAUUUAACAAUAUUAUUUUCAUUUCAUAGAAUAAACCUGAGAAGCGUUUCAGCUAUGCUAAUUUCAUUUUGUGAAUAAAUAAUUCCCGGCAAAAUGAAAAAAGCUCCUUUUUCUAUUUUCUUAUUAUCACUUUAUUUCCAACUCUCUUC